UAGCAUAUCAAUAAGCGGAGGAAAAGAAACCAACAGGGAUUGCCCUAGUAACGGCGAGUGAAGCGGCAACAGCUCAAAUUUGAAAUCUGGCGCAAGCCCGAGUUGUAAUUUGUAGAGGAUGCUUCUGGCCAGCGGCCGUUCUAAGUUCCUUGGAACAGGACGUCAUAGAGGGUGAGAAUCCCGUAUGUGACCGGCGCGCAGCCUUUACGUAGCUCCUUCGACGAGUCGAGUUGUUUGGGAAUGCAGCUCUAAAUGGGAGGUAAAUUUCUUCUAAAGCUAAAUACCGGCCAGAGACCGAUAGCGCACAAGUAGAGUGAUCGAAAGAUGAAAAGCACUUUGGAAAGAGAGUUAAAAAGCACGUGAAAUUGUUGAAAGGGAAGCGCUUGCAACCAGACUUCGUAGCGAUGUUCCGCCGGUCUUCUGACCGGUCUACUCAUCGUCGCGAGGCCAACAUCGUCUGGGGCCGCUGGAUAAGACCUAAGGAAUGUAGCUUCCCUCGGGAAGUGUUAUAGCCUGUGGUGAUGCAGCGUGUCUCGGGCGAGGUCCGCGCUUCGGCAAGGAUGUUGGCGUAAUGGUUGUCAGCGGCCCGUCUUGAAACACGGACCAAGGAGUCUAACAUCUAUGCGAGUGUUCGGGUGUCAAACCCCUACGCGUAAUGAAAGUGAACGGAGGUGGGAAGCGCAAGCUGCACCAUCGACCGAUCCUGAUGUCCUCGGAUGGAUUUGAGUAAGAGCAUAGCUGUUGGGACCCGAAAGAUGGUGAACUAUGCCUGAAUAGGGUGAAGCCAGAGGAAACUCUGGUGGAGGCUCGCAGCGGUUCUGACGUGCAAAUCGAUCGUCAAAUUUGGGUAUAGGGGCGAAAGACUAAUCGAACCAUCUAGUAGCUGGUUCCUGCCG
rnacentral:rRNA from 1 species